CAGUCGCCGCGGGAAUACGUAGGUGGCAAGCGUUGUCCGGAAUUAUUGGGCGUAAAGCGCACGUAGGCGGUUAUUCAAGUCAGAGGUGAAAGCCCGGGGCUCAACCCCGGAACUGCCUUUGAAACUAGAUGACUGGAAUCUUGGAGAGGUCAGUGGAAUUCCGAGUGUAGAGGUGAAAUUCGUAGAUAUUCGGAAGAACACCAGUGGCGAAGGCGACUGACUGGACAAGUAUUGACGCUGAGGUGCGAAAGCGUGGGGAGCAAACAGGAUUAGAUACCCCGGUAGUCCCUGUCUCUUAUAA
rnacentral:rRNA from 1 species